rnacentral:lncRNA from 1 species
GGGUUUCAAAGUUUUCAGGGUGGCCUGGAGUUCUGCUUCCCCAUUGACGGAAUUGCUUCAAGUCCUCUUCCUGAUAGAGGAUACUCCAGGUUAUUAUCAGACAAUCAAUUCAAAGAUCAAUCAAUCAUCAAGUGGUGAAGAUAUAGCGAAAUCAAAAACGUAUCAUCAAGCACAAAUGAAACUAAGAGUGAGCCAAGGAAGUACAAUCUUGUUCCACGAUUUGGGUUGGAGACUUAAAGUUAUACACUUUUGUGAUCGAAAUGAAAGAGCCAAAACGCUAACUUUAUUCAAGUUAAUUAGCUUGUGUAAGUACAAAAAUGAAUCUUUAUCCCAUUUAAACCGAUUCCUAGAUCCCAACAAGUUAUAUGUGUCCGAACACAUAAACGCUCUACUGAAAAUUUGAAGAGAUAGAAUAGCUAAUGAACUUAUUUGUACCAUGAUAAUGUAAUUUUUUGAAAAAACCCAGAUCCGAAAACAGAUUCAAUUCACUUGAACAUUUCGUCGAACAGAUGGAGGAUGUGGAAGAUAGAAAUCACGAGGUAGAUCAACUAUGAAUAGCCUCAGUUUGCCAUUGAAAAACAAAUUUGUUUUACUUAAUCAGACUGAUAAAUUCAAGAGAAAUUAGAUGCAAAUUAGUACUGAAACGCAUAGAGAUAAUAGUCAAGGGCUUACUAGGACGCUGUCGUAGCCAGCAAGGUGCAACAGAGCAUACUGGAGCAUACAUCCAUGUCCGGCGGAGAGAACAAAGCGAUCCCUGUUGAACCAAUACGGGUUCUUGGGGUUAUACCUCAUGACCUCAUCGUACAAUAUAUGACCCAUCGGAG